rnacentral:rRNA from 1 species
GUUGCGGUUAAACAUAAUAUACAAAUAAAAUAGUUUGGUUAUUAGUAUUAAAUAUAAUUUAUAAUUUAAUUUUUUUUAAAAAAGUAAAAUUUAAUUAAAUAUUAUUAUUAUAAUUAUUUUAUUCUAUUAAAUUUUAUUUAAAACUAGGAUUAGAUACCCUAUUAUAAAAAUUUAAAUUAAUUUACUAAAAAAUUAAUAGUUAUGUUCUUUAAAUUUAAAAAAUUUGGCGGUAUUUUAGUCUUAUUAGAGGAACCUGUUUAUUAAUUGAUAAUCCACGAUUAAUUUUACUUAUUUAAUUAAUUCAUAUAUCGCUGUCAUGAAUAUAUUAAAAAAUUUAUUUUCUUUAUUUAUUAUUAUAAUUUAUGUUAAGUCAAGAUGUGGUUUAUAAAUAAGAAUAUAAUGGGUUACAUUAAAUUUUAUUUUUGGAUUUUAAAUGAAAAUUAAAAUGAAAUUGGAUUUAAUAGUAAAUUUAUUUAUUUUGUUAAUAUGAAG